CCAACGAGAGUUCGCCAAGUCGCACCGUGCCAGUCCGUGCGUGUACUUUGCCUAAUAAUAUUUCCUCACGGCGAGGAGAGCGCACGGCGAGUAACGCGCACGGGGUUCCAAAAGAACAAGAGAGAAAGAACGAAGGAGAUAGAUAGAGAGAUAGAGAGAGAGAGAGAGAAAGAGAAAGAAAGAGAGAGAUAGAUAGAGAGAGAUAGAGAGAGAGAGAGAAAGAAAGAGAGUUAGAGAUAGAAAUAGAUAGAUAGAGGUCAGAGUGUGCGUUCACUUUUCUCUCUCGUAUAUUCUCUCUGGGAAACUUAACAACUCUACGUCCUUCCAUAUUACCAACGUUUUACUUCACUUAUUUAAACGCGAAAAUAAGGUGACCCGAUCAGAAGGACACGUGCGUUCCUAUCGUGCGGAUCCUCCGUCGCGCUACGAUCCUUUCCGGAACUUUUCGAACGUACGAACGAGAGAAAGAAAGAAAGAAAGAAAGAGAGAGAGAGAAAGAAAGAGGGUUUCUGUUUUGGAUUAUAUCUACUCGCCCGUGAGGGGUAACGAACGUGGAGUUUAGAAAAAAGGGGCGGAGAAGGAGAUCGAGCGUGUAAACGAUCAGCUUAUAUCGUUAUUGAUAUCUAUCUUUCGUGAGAAGUUAAAUACAUAGAAGAAGAGAGAGGAGAAAGAGAGAAAGAGAGAGAAAGAGAGAAAGAGAAAAAAAGAAAAAAAAACGAGAAAGAGAGAGAGAGAGAGAGAAAGAGAGAAACGUUGAUUCGAUAGAUAACAUCGAGGAUUGUGCGCGUAAAUUUUUGUUUUUUUUUUUCGUUUGACAUUAUUAUCGACAUUCUCGUGAACUCGACAUUUAAUCAAAGACCCUACGACGAUAACGACGACGACGAUUAGUAAUUGAUAAUAAUCAGUGUAAUCGCGUGUGUAUACUGUAUGGAAGAAGAUACUGUGACAACACGAUUGGCAAAGGAUAGAUCAUCGUAGAUCAUCGUGUUAGAAGAAUAAUAUAACUUCGGAGAUAACGAAGAAGAAGGGAAGAAAAAAUAUCCAGGGAUAGCUAAUUACAUACAAGGAGUCGUUUUAACUCGACUGCCCGAAGAGAAACAUCCAGAGAGGAGUGUAAGAAGAAGAAGAAGAAGAAGAAGAAGACACCGUCGGCCGUCGGCAGAAAGAAAAAAGAAAAAGAGAACGAGAGACGAUCGAACGAGAGAGGCCGAACGAGUGAAGAGAAAGAAAGAGAGAGAGAGAGAGAGAGAGAGAGAGAGUGAUAUCUUGUGACCGGUAGCGUGCCAAAGGCCCGAAGAUUCUGCCUUCGCAGCAGCUCGGCGCUGCGGUCGCUCCAUGGCCGGGCGCCACCGGCCUCCUCGCCUCCGUCACCGCUGACGAUAUGGCACAUAAAGGUCACAGCGGAGUGAACCAAUUGGGUGGCGUCUUCGUCGGUGGUAGACCGCUUCCGGAUUCGACGAGACAAAAGAUCGUCGAAUUAGCUCAUUCGGGGGCACGUCCUUGCGACAUCUCAAGAAUCCUGCAGGUCAGCAAUGGCUGCGUUUCGAAGAUCCUUGGCAGCAGGUACUAUGAGACCGGAUCCAUAAGGCCAAGGGCCAUUGGCGGCAGUAAGCCGCGAGUGGCCACGGCGGAAGUCGUCAGCAAGAUCUCACUUUAUAAAAGCGAGUGCCCGUCGAUCUUUGCUUGGGAGAUCAGAGAUCGUUUACUUCAGGAGGGCGUGUGCACGAACGACAACAUUCCAAGCGUUUCGUCCAUCAACAGGGUAUUGAGGAACUUGGCGGCACAGAAGGAACAAAGACAACAACAGCAGCAACAGCAACAGGGUGUAGGGGCAGUUGGAGUUGGCAUCGGCGUAGGUGUUGGCGCUGGUAGUCCUGCCGAGAGCGUUUACGACAAGCUCAGGCUACUGAACGGACAGACCACUGGCUGGUCAAGACCCAAUCCCUGGUAUCCGUCGGGUGCGGGAAGCCCUUUCUCGAGUCUUCAGCCUAGUCUGAGUCCGAGCCAUUGCACGGCGCUACCGCCUGAUCCCGCUGAUAUUCUCCACGCCAAAAAGGUGGCUGAACUCGAAGGAGGCGCUCACUCGGACGAGACCAACAGCGGUGGUGACAACAGUAACGCUGGCAGUGUAUCUGGUGGUGCAGACGAUGAUCAAGCACGUUUACGACUUAAGAGAAAGCUUCAGAGGAAUCGUACGAGCUUCAGCAACGAGCAAAUCGAUGCACUCGAGAAGGAAUUCGAGAGGACGCAUUAUCCGGAUGUAUUUGCAAGAGAACGACUGGCUGGGAAGAUUGGCCUACCGGAAGCUCGAAUACAGGUAUGGUUUUCGAAUCGGCGGGCAAAGUGGAGACGAGAGGAGAAGUUGCGUACGCAACGGAGGGACAACCCGCAGCAGCAGCAACAACAGCAACAACAGCAACAGCAACAACAGCAACAACAGCAACAACAGCAGCAGCAACAACAGCCACAGCCUCAGCAACAACAGCAACAAUCUCAUACGGGAGGUGUUAGUCUUGUGGGUGCUGGUCAUCCUACGCCACCUCCUCCGACUGGUAUUCUUGGUGGACAGGCACCACCGCAGGCACCACCGUCACCACCGAGAAUACAUCAUGGAUUUGCACCAACCGCUGUUUAUCCAGGAAUACCUAGCAUGCCGGACUCUUACAGUCCAAUGACAUCAAUGCCAAGCUUCACGAUGUCAGGUGGCAGCCAACAGAAUCAACAUACGACGAGCAGCAUGUCUUCGCUGUCAGGCUCCCUUUCGGGUUCGUUAUCAGGCUCGCUAUCGGGAGGUGGCAUGGGCCCAAUGGGUAUGACGGUUGGUAUGACCGUUGGCCCUAGUCCAGGCGCGUGCCUUCAACAACGUGACAAUGGUUACUCUUGUGGCGUGGCACGACCACCAAGCUACGAACCGCUUCAUUUGGGAUACGGUGCGAGGCCAACCUGCAGUCCGACCCAGCCUUACCACACCGCGGGCCUUAAUCAGUACAAUCAGAACGCCAGCUCGACCGGUGAGUGUCUACCGCACUCACUGCACUCGCUGCUUGCGCUUUAGCCGAUGGACUACUACUAUGGCUACCACGGAUAACACGCUAUCGAGCCUGCCGGUCUGAUAUCACCGGGAGUAAGCGUACCCAUCGCAGUGCCAGGCCAACCAGCACCUGACAUGGCGGCGCAAUAUUGGUCACCGAGGCUACAGUGACCGUGGUGGUCCUCGACGUCGACCUCGUCCUCCUAGGCACGAGUUUCUUCGUCCUCGAUCAGAACCAGAAUAUGAUCGUCGUCGGUUUUAGGACCACCAAGAGAUUCAUUGAAAGGGAAGGAAGGAAAGAAAAGAAAAGAAAAGAAAAACGGAUGAACAAAGGACUUUCAAUCAUGUUUCUUAUCAAAAACGAUGAGGAGGGACAAGUGUGCGAAGAAUUCGAGUUUUCCAAACGUUUCUUCUUUUUUUUUUCUUGUACCCUUUUUUUGUUAUGUUUUUUCUUUUCUUUUUUUUUUCUUUUAGAUUCGACGACGACAAUGAUAACACGACGAUGAAACAGAGAAGAGAUAGAUAGUCGAAAACGACAUCCUCGAGAUCGUUGUGUCGUCGUGAAAAAGGAAAAAAAAAAUUAGGAAAAUGCAAGCACCACAAAAUGCAUUAAUAAUAAAAUUUCGAUUCAAGGAGAAAUCCAAGAAAAGUUUUCUUCGGUAUUUAAUCGUAAUCGGUAGGAAGAGAAUUCGACGUUUUCGAAUAAACUUUAAACUAGCAUACUAUGGUAGUGCAUUUAGCAUAUUAAACGAGAUUGCAUUUUCGGUAUGCUUUAUGUUGUAAUUAGAAAUCACGACUUAACUCUACUUUCACGUAGAAUUAUAUUACUAUGUGAAUUAUAAAGUGUAGUAUUUUUUUAAGUACUAUGUUAAAUAUAAAUCAUAGUAUUUGAGAAAUACUAUGUGAAAUAUGAGCUAUAGUAUUUUUUUUUUUUUAAGUACAACGUUAAAUAUAAAUCAUAGUGUUUAUAAAAUACUAUGUGUAACAUGAGCUGUAGUAUUAUUUCAAAAGUACUAUGAGAAGUAUAAACUAUAGUAUUUGAGAAAUACUAUGUUGAAAUAUAAACUGUAGUAUUUCUUUUUUUUUUAAAUACUAUGUGAAAUAUAAACUAUAGUAUUUUAUAAGUACUAUAAUUUAGUUAGUACUCUAGUACUAUAAUUUAAUAAAUUAAACAUAAUACUCUAUAAACCAUAGUUUAUGUAAUGCAUAUGUCAUAUCAUACAUAAAUGAAAACGUCAAGGAUUAAGUCGAGUCCUUUUUCUUUCUAUCGUCGAAAACUCACCACCGGCUGCGAAUUUUACUCUCGAACACGCGUCACAUCAUUACGAUAAUGAACUUCAGUGGUUUUUGUAUUUUCUUUUUUGUUUUAUUUUUUGUUUUCUGUUUUUUCUUUUUCCUCCCCGUGGAACGUGUAAUUUUUAUCUUCUGGGUGUACGUGCGAUAGUUAAAAAUUGUAAUAUUACGCCCGAGUGGCGUCAGUUGGUACAAACCAGAGGUUAAUUAUUGAAGAAGAAAAAAAAAAUUAUAAAUAUAUAUAUAUAUAAAUAUAUAAAUAUAUAAAUAUAUCAUAGCGAUGACAAUUGAUAAUUAUGUUUACUACGUAGUAGUUGAUAAAAGAAAAAGGUAAAAAAAAAAAAAAAGAAAAAAAGAAAAGCGAGGGCGAGGAAUGAAAAAAGAAAAAAAAUCAGCUGAGCUUAAACACGUUUUUGUGUGUCUGUUCUACGUGUGUGUUCUUCUUUUUCUUUUUAUCGUUGUACGUUGUCACACUAUAAGAAAUACGAACUAUGCAAACCACAUACAUAUACAUAUACAUAUACAUAUACAUAUACAUAACAUCAUUUUCGUCGGAAAUAAAUUCAGAAAUAAAGCGAGAUACGCCAUUAACGAUACGCCAUAACUGAUAUGCCAUAGCGUGCUAUAUCGUUUAAUCUUACGCGAACUUUACACACACUUUUUGCUUGUAUACUCUAUUACUACUACUUGCUACUUAUAUUACAUACAUACAUACAAAUACACACAUACGUACACAUUUUCACAUAACAUUGAGUGACAUACGCUUAUCUCGGGCUAAAUAUUUGACAGACGAUCGUUGCUUCUAUUUAAACUGCCUUUUACGUGUUCAUAAAUAGGAAAAAAAAAAGAAAAAAAAAAUCAACAGAACACGAAAUCGGCUCUCAUACCCGAUAUCGAAAAUAACGCACAGAACUAUUUAAAAGAAAGAAAAACGAAAAAAAAAGGGAAAAAAAGAAUAAAAAAUCUCUACUUACUUAAAAUCGCGAUAGAGAAGGAAGUUUAAGCGAGAGAAAGAAAGAGAAAAGGGCAAUGUAGUCAGACCUAUCGAGUAUCGACAGUGUGCAUUAUGCAAUCUUCUUUGUAAAAUAAUUUAGUAAAGAGAGUAUGCGAGCGAGCGAGUUAGAGAGAGAGAGAGAGAGAGAGAGAGAGAGAGAGAGAGAGAGAGAGAGAGAGAGAGAGAGAGAGAGAGAAAUAUGUAAAUCGAUCGAAGAAAUUUCAUCGUGACAAAAUGAUGUGAUCUUGUAAAGAUAUUUUCGUCAUCGCGUCUCGUAAAUUUCUUUAGUGCGAAUAAAAAUGUUAGACGAAAUAAACGAAGGAAGCAAAAAAAAAAAAGAAAAAAAAGCAAACAAAAGAAAAGAAAACGAAAACGAAAACAAAAAAAAAUAAAACAUUAUAAAGACACAGGAAAAUAAAGUAAUAGUUUCUAAGUCGACACAUUACCGCUAUUAUUUAUAUUCAUGUAACGAACGAGAGAAGCCGAAAAUGACGAUGACGAUGACGAUGACGAUGACGAUGACAAAGACGAUGACGAUGACGAUGACGACAACGAUGACGAACGUUUAUUAUGUACGUGUACACAGUGUAAGAAUAUCGGUCAGUCAUUUAUAUACAUAUACAUAUAGUUGAAUCCUAAUUCUAGAAGCGAUAAUUGAUAAUGUCGAUUCGUAAUUUAUAUUCCGGUGCAAGAUCGAUCGAGUAAACAAAAUGAAUGAAAAAAAAAAGUUAUAUAUAUAUUAAUAAUAAUAAUAAUAAUUAAUAAUAAUUAAUAAUGAUAAUUAAUAAUAAUAAUUAAUAACAAGUAAUAAUAAUAAUAAUAGUAAUAAUAAUAAUAAUGGUAAUAAUAAUAAUAAUAAUAAUAAUAAUAAUAAUAAUAAUAAUAAUAAUAAUAAUGGUAAAGAAAAAAAAUGAGAAAAACCGAGCGAAUGUGAUUCCCUUAGGUCAGGUAUGUUAAACGUACGAUUAUGCAUUCUAAAUAAAUAGUGUGUGCAUUUAAUUAAUGAGAGAAUUCUUGAUAAAUAAUAUACAUACACGAAUUCGUAA